rnacentral:rRNA from 1 species
AACGAACGCUGGCGGCAGGCUUAACACAUGCAAGUCGAACGAGUGUAGCAAUACACUAGUGGCGCACGGGUGCGUAACGCGUGGGAACCUUCCUCGUAGUUCGGAAUAACUCAGGGAAACUUGGGCUAAUACCGGAUGCCUCCUUCGGGAGAAAGAUUUAUCGCUACGAGAUGGGCCCGCGUCAGAUUAGGUAGUUGGUAGGGUAACGGCCUACCAAGCCGACGAUCUGUAGCUGGCUGAGAGGAUGAUCAGCCACACUGGGACUGAGACACGGCCCAGACUCCUACGGGAGGCAGCAGUGGGGAAUAUUGGACAAUGGGGCAACCCUGAUCCAGCCAUGCCGCGUGAGUGAAGAAGGCCUUCGGUU